rnacentral:rRNA from 1 species
GGGCUUGACAUCCCACGAACCUGACCGAAAGGUGGGAGUGCCCGCAAGGGAGCGCGGAGACAGGUGGUGCAUGGCUGUCGUCAGCUCGUGUCGUGAGAUGUUGGGUUAAGUCCCGCAACGAGCGCAACCCUCACCCCUUGUUGCCAUCAGGUCAUGCUGGGGACUCUAGGGGAACUGCCCCGGUCAACGGGGAGGAAGGCGGGGAUGACGUCAAGUCAUCAUGCCCCUUACGCCCUGGGCUACACACGUGCUACAAUGGCCGGUACAAAGGGAUGCGAGACCGCGAGGUGUAGCCAAACCCAAAAAGCCGGUCUAAGUUCAGAUUGGAGUCUGCAACUCGAUUCCAUGAAGGAGGAAUCGCUAGUAAUCGCCCAUCAGCACGGGGCGGUGAAUACGUUCCCGGGCCUUGUACACACCGCCCGUCACACCACGAAAGUCAGCUGUACUCGAAGUCGCUGAG